UACGUAGGGCGCAAGCGUUAUCCGGAAUUAUUGGGCGUAAAGAGCUCGUAGGCGGUUGUCGCGUCUGCCGUGAAGUCCGGGCUCAACUCCGGAUCUGCGGUGGGUACGGGCAGACUAGAGGUGAUGUAGGGGAGACUGGAAUUCCUGGUGUAGCGGUGAAAUGCGCGAUAUCAGGAGGAACACCGAUGGCGAAGGCAGGUCUCUGGGCGAUUAACUGACGCUGAGGAGCGAAAGCGUGGGGAGCGAACAGG
rnacentral:rRNA from 1 species